rnacentral:sRNA from 1 species
UUAUAGCCCCGAUUGUAAUGAAAAUCCUUUUUUGUCUCGUUUACAAACGAGACAAAAAAGAUUGUAAUGGAAAGCGGGAACGUAU